AUGCCUUAAACUAAUGAGUAAGGAAAAUAACGAGUCCGGGUGACGCCGGGUUCCACAGUUCAUACUGUGAGAAAUUUUUCUAUGGGGAAAGGUCGCCCUCGGUGUGACUUGCCUACUUUCGCGAGAUGCCCGUGUUGAGUGAUCUACCCC